GCUGGGUGCAGUGACAUAUGUACAUAGUCUCAGCUACUCAGGAGGCUGAGGCAGGAGGAUCACUUGAGCCCAGGAGAUCUAGGCUGUAGUGUGCUAUGCCGAUCAGGUGUCCACACUAAGUUCAUCAGUAAUAUGAUGAACUCUCAGCUGCAGGGGACCACCAGGUUGGAAACAGAGCAGGUCAAAACUCUCAUGCUGAUCAGUUGUGAGAUCACGCCUGUGAACAGCCACUGCAUUCCAGCCUGGGCAACAUGAAAAGACCCCAUCUCU
rnacentral:SRP_RNA from 1 species